UCUGGGAUAUGGGGACAAAACAGUAUGUCUCACCAAAUCAUAUAGUAGAGCUGAAGCUGGAGCAUGAACAGGAGAAGACGCACCUAUUACAGCAGCAUAACGCAGAGAAGGAUAGCCUAGUCCGAGACCAUGAACGGGAAAUUGAAAACCUGGAAAAACAGCUUCGCGCUGCCAAUAUGGAGCACGAAAAUCAAAUUCAAGAGUUCAAGAAACGAGAUGCACAGAAUUCUCAACCAUAAUCCUCUGAGUACUGUUGAAGAUUCACAUCUUUUUAAAUUGCCAGCAUUAAAAUAUCUAGACAUGGGAGCAACACAAAUGUCACUUACAGCAAUUGAGAACACCAUCCUGAUGACUCUUGAAUUGGAAAAACUGAUGUCUUGGGCUGUCCAUCUUCCAGUUCCCUGUCCUGUUCCACUUGGUACAUUAAGAAAUGACUCCUUGGAAGCUCAGCUUCAUGAGUAUGUCAAACAAGCAAACUAUGUGAAAGUGAAGACAAUUCUUAAGAAAGCAGGUCCCUUCAUCAAACCUCCCCUAGUUCCAGGCUAUGAUUCUCUGGAUAGCACUAUUGUCCUUUCUUUCUUCUGCCAUGGAGAACCUCCCAGACCUUCUUGCUUCUUCACAGCCCUCUACUCUGCAGCUUCUGCUGGUUCUCUGCACCCUGAGUAUGACCAGAUGGAGCACCAGAAGGUCGAAGCUUCUUUUCACCCACAGCCUUUGCAUAUAAACUUAGGACAAUCAGCUAUUCUCUGUGUCUCAGUCUCCACAUCUCUAAAAUGAUGUUCCGGUUUCCACGUACACAAGUCCAAAGAACAUCUUCAAAAAGCGUUGGAAUCCUAGCCAAUAUCCACCAACACGGUCUCAUGGAAAAACGCCAAGUACCUUUGCUCCUACAAUAAAAUGUAUCAGGAACUAUGAAGCCAUUUGCAAAAGGGAUAAGGGACUAUGUGACAGGGCUUAAACGGGAUGGAGUCCUAGAUGUGGAAUUACUUGGACAAAGGAUAAAAUGUGUUUAAGGAUUGUGAUACAUAUUGCUUAGUUGCCUUCCAGAAAGUGGGAGAAAAGAGGAAUUUUUUAAGUGAUGAACAGGAGAGAUGCCUGAAGACACAGGAGGAAAAGCAACAGAUUCUGACAACCCAGCAUCACUGAGUUUGACAUAAAUCCACGGCCUGGUAAAUGAAUUGUUAAACAGAUGGUUUGUGAGCAUCUGGAUGAACGGAAAUGAUCACUAACAAACAACAUGGGCUCUCUUCAAACAUGUUGAAGAUUACGACAAAUUAAGCCCAAUUCCAUUUUUUGACAUAGAUUAGUUGAUAAGGGGAAAUACAUUAUCUAUAAAGUAUGUCUCCUUUUAACAAAGCAUUUGAUGAUUAAUCUACUGGUAUUCUUGGGAGUAAGAUACUGAACUGUGGAUGAGUAUAAAGAACUGCUGGUUGACUUGGCAGCUGCUUGUACAAACUGUGUGUGAAAGGUUCUCCUCAAUAACUAGAAUAUGAAACCCUCAAACCCCACGGAAUUUCAUUAGCUCUAAUAGGUAUAGACUAUAUGAAAGUAAAAGUAGGGCUUGGAGAAUAAUUCACUAUUUUAUUUAAGAGAGCAGAAGCAUAAAUGUCUCCCAUGAAUAUGAUCUAUUGCUAUUUGUUUUAAAUAUAAAUCUUUAAAUUUAAAGUGAGCCUGGACACCUAACAAUGUUGAUUUAUACUGGCCCUUCAGGAAGAUCAUAGAUCUUAAGAAACAUUCUGAAAAUAUCUAGAUAUGUGAACAAGCACGAAUACAUCAAGGACCUUUACAGCUGACUGUCCUUGUCACCUAGAUCAAAAUAAAUCCAAGUUUCUGUUUAAGCUGUCAAGAACAUCCAUGAUUUUCCCCUUGUUUCCACAUGUUCUCUCAUUAAUUUUUUGCAACAUAGUAUGCUACCUCCACCUAUUUGCCCUGUUCCAAAAUCAUUGCAUAUAUCUGCCAAUAUGCCAGAGCUGAGAACCCUCACACUAUGUACAUAAGAAUGAAGGUCUUUCAAAAUGUUCAUGGAAAGAUUUGUAUUAUCCUUUAAUUCUAUUUUUCCAUGAACUUUUUCAAGUAUCCUCAUAUUCUCCU